rnacentral:rRNA from 1 species
GAUGAACGCUGGCGGCGUGCCUAAUACAUGCGAGUCGAGCGAACGGACGAGAAUCUUGCUUUUCUGAUGUUAGCGGCGGACGGGUGAGUAACACGUGGAUAACCUACCUAUAAUACUGGUAUAACUUCGGGAAACCGGAGCUAAUACCGGAUAAUAUUUUGAACCGCAUUGUUCAAAGGUGAAAGACGGUCUUUCUGUCACGUAUAGAUGCAUCCGCGCUGCAUGAGCUAGUUGUUAAGUUAACGGCUUACCAAGGCAACGAUGCAUAGCCGACCUGAGGGGGUGAUAGCCCACCUUGGAACUGAGACACGCACAAGAGGCCUGAGGGAGGGACCAGUAGGGAACGUUACGCAACAGGCGAAAGCCUGACGGAGCAACGCCGAGUGAGUGAUGAAGGCCUUCGGAUCGUAAAGCUCUGUUAUUAGGGAAGAACAUAUGUGUAAGUAACUGUGCACACCUUGACGGUAACUAAUAAGAAAGCAACGGCUAACUACGUG